rnacentral:lncRNA from 1 species
CACACAACCCAUGUAAUACAUAAGGGGAAGAGAUACAUAGUUGGCUUACAAUCGCCACUUCACACAAUUACAUGAAUAAAGCAUUACAUCAACCAGAUACAAUCAAGGUCUGACUAUGGAACCCAAAAUAAAAGAAGACUACCCCAAAUGCUACACAGAUCCCCGAUCGUCCCAACUGGGCUCCACUACUGAUCAAAAGGAAGCGAACCAUCAAAACGAAAUAAGGUCUUCAUCAAGCUCCUCCAUGAGCUCGGUUACGUCACCUGCACGGUUCAACGGCACCUGCAAGCUGGUUUUGGAAGUAAUCUUCUAGUCACGGGGACUCAGCAAUCUCACACCCUCGCGAUAAAGACUAUUUAAGCUUAUAGGAAGGGUAAAAGGUAUGAGGUGGAGCUGCAGCAAGCGACUAGCAUAUUUGGUGGCUAACAUACGCAAAUGAGAGCUAGAAGAGAAGGCAAAAGCACGAUCGAGAAUCUAUGAUCAAGAAGUGAUCCUAGAGCAACCUACGUCAGGCAUAACUCCAACACCGUGUUCACUUCCCGGACUCCGUGGGGAAGAGACCAUCACGGUUACACACGCGAUUGAUGCAUUUUAAUUAAGAUAAACUUUAGGUUUUCUACAACCAGACAUUAACAAAUUCCCAUCUGCCCAUAACCGCAGGCACGACAUUCGAAAAUUCAAAUCCCUGCAUGGGUGUCCCAACUUAGCCCAUCACAAGCUCUCACGGUCAACAAAGGAUAUUCCUUCUCCCAAGACAAUCCGAUCAGACUCGGCAUCCUGUUACAAGACAUCCUCGACAAUGGUAAAACAAGUCCAGCAAAGCCGCCCGAAUGUGCCCACAAAUCCCGUUAGGAGCUGCACAUAUCUCGUUCUUAGGGCACACUCAGAUAGGUCAAGCUACGAGUAAGACCAGCCCUCGAGUUUCCCCGAGGUGGCCCCGCAGGCUGCCCGGUUCGGACCAACACUUGGACAAGCACUGGCCUGGGGGGGGGGGUUAAAAUAAAGAUGACUCUCGAGAGUGCGACUCCCUAUGGAAAAGUAGGUGGUGGUGAGGCAAAUGGUAAAACCAAGGUUGGGCCUUGUUGGAGGAGUUUUAUUCAAAGCGAACUGUCAAGGGGUUCCCAUUAUAAUCCAACCGUGUAAGGAACACAAAAUCCGGGAACAUAACACCAAUAUGACGGAAACUAGGGCGGCAAGAGUGGAACAAGACACCAGGCAUAAGGCCGAGUCUUCCACCCUUUACCAAGUAUAUAGAUGCAUUAAUUAAAUAAGAGAUAUUGUGAUAACCCAACAAAAUAUCCAUAUUCCAACAUGGAACAAACUCCAUCUUCACCUGCAACUAGCAACACUAUAAGAGGGGCUGAGCAAAGCGGUAACAUAGACAAACAACGGUUUGCUAGGACAAGGUGGGUUAGAGGCUGAACAUGGCAAUAUGGGAGGCAUGGUAAAGCAUGUGGUAGGUAUCGCAACAUAGGCAUAGCAAUAGAGCGAGCAACUAGCAAGCAAAGAUAGAAGUGAUUUCGAGGGUAUGGUCAUCUUGCCUGAGAUCCCGCAAGGAAGAAGAACGAGUCCAUGAAGAAGACAAACGGACGUAGUCAAACGGAUCCUCACAAACGCAACGUUAUCGGAACCAACCCGAAGAAGCAACACCGAAAAGGAGCAAACAACAUAGUAAACAACCAACACAUGAACAUGGCAUGAUGCACAACCAAGUAUGAUGCAUGUCCGGUUUAACGAAGUAUGGCAUGGCAAAAUGCACAAACAAUCCUACAAAUUAAGUGGAGCUAAACAUGCAACUCCGUUGCAUAUUGACGGAACACCACAUUACUUUUUUAGUUCGAUCUCGUUUAUGUACUCAACAAUAUUAAAUGUUGUUAGCAUGGCAAGAGGUGAAGCAAAGUAAAACUACCUAUCUAGUCAAGUUUAAAUGAGGCCGGAAGCAACGAACAACAAUUCCGGUAAAUCCCCAUAUCCAUAUAUUAGGUUUGGUACUGUUCUGCCCUAAACCAUAUUUUAUAGUUGUUAAACAUGCAAAGUGAUGCCACCAUGUUAAACUAGGCAUUUUUCUACCCCAUUUACAUAUAAAGUUUAUUUAAAACCGAGCUACAGUUAUUUACUUAUGAAUUAAAUCAUUUUAACAUGACAUAGGAGCAAAUUUAAUCAAACAACCUUUUAAACAUGUUAAACAUGGAUGAAAGUGGCAUAUUAUUAAACUAGAUGAAAUUCUAAGCAAGUUUCAUAUUAUGUUUGUUUUAAUCCGAUGCACGGUUAAUGCAUUAUUAUAUGCAUGAAGCAGGAGGGUGUUUCUGUAAAACCGCAAACUCUGGAUAAAUAGCAAAAUUCGUAGGCAGGAAAAAAACAAUGAACGGGCCGAAUCUGCUAGGCACUGGGGCGCUCACCAAGGCCAAGGCCCAGUCGAUGGUGAGGUGGCCCGGUUGGGCUGCGAUCUGGCACGGGAGGAGGCGCGCUGGGCCGGUCUGUAUUGGUCCAACCGGGGAAGGGUCAACGCGAGCGCUCUCCUCGCUCGGUCGAUCUGGCAGCGGCGCGAGCAGAGGACGAAGCAGGGGAACUCGACGGCAACGAGGAAGGAGGCAGGGGCGUCCUGGGUGGCCAGAUCGCCGGCGGCUUGCCGGAGUUGGCCGGAGCAACGACGUGGUGGCGAGGUCGAGGCGCCAUUGGAGAGGUUGGAGGCGGUCAUGAGCAGGAAACGGCAGAGGCAAGGUGCACCGAGCCGGAGGCAGUGCAGCCGUUCUCUCACAGCAGCAUGGGGAAGGACUCCAGCAAGAAGACUCCGGGAUGGCGCGGCAGCGGACCCGGGCGAGGAAGGUCGAGUACGCGGCAGUAGCGAGCUUGAAGAUGACGACGGGGAGGUCGUGGCUUGCGGCGUGCAGAGCUUCACGGGGCGCCAUGGUUGGUCCCUGGAGCUGGAGGAGGGAGUUGCGAGGCCGAGGCAGGGGUGUUCGGGAAGAGGAGAGGAGGCUGACGAGGUCUCGUACGAGUGGCUUCAUAGAUCCAUCGGGGACAAACGGGUGAUGAUGCGCACGUCGAGGACGCGACCAGGGAUGGGGUUCCUGCCCAGCGAAGAGAGAGUAGAGAGAUGAAUCGCAGAAAGAAGAAAAGGAAGAGAAGAGAGCAAGGGAGAUGGGGUGCGGCACGGGCCUACUGAAUGUGGUCGGCGGCGACGAGGCGCGAGGUUGCGAGUCGGAGGAGCUCCUGCGGUGGUUUGUUGGAAGAGAGUCGGGGUGGAUCCCAAUGGAGGAUGAGGCUGGCAGCGGCUUCAUUGGACAGGGAAGGAUGAGGGAUGGAUCCCGAUGGGAAAAUGGUUGGUGGCGGCUCGAUGGGACAAAUCCCUAGAAUUUAGGGUUAGGCAGUUUAUAUAGCAGCAGGUGGAUCAGGUUCGGGGUGGUAUAGUCCCUCCGAUUGAAAUCAGACGGUUCAGAAAGAAUAGGCUAGGGAGUCCAAAUAAUAAAACAGUGAUAUUUUGUAGAUGUUUGGGGAUGAUCCGGAUCCAACGGUGACAACUGUCUGGGUCGGGUCCGGGGAAAUUUCGGACAUGACGCGAGGGGUCGGUUGAAACUUGUGGGCUGUGCAGAAGGGCUCGAGCUAAGAGAAGAGAAGAGAGAGAGGCCCGGCGACUGUUUCCGGAGACCGAAAACGUCCGAUGUUAGACCGGCUAUAAUGCCACUAUAGUUUAACGGUUGGGCUAUCAAACGAACUCCGAAUGCGAUGAAACUUGACAGGCGGUCUAUCUACACUAUAAUAAGACCACACGCCAACUUUCAACCCAAACCAAGAACAUUUUCCGGACACUUAUAAAAUACUAUUUUGGACAUGCCGUGGGCACGUGCAAGUGUGGUUGGGCUCAGAACGGACAACGGACGAAACUGGGGGAAACACGGACGGAUGCAGGUUUUGAAAACAUGAUGAUGCAAUGCGGAUGAUGACAUGGCAAGAUGCAACACGCAAGAAAAUGACAAGAAAACAACAACGAAUAACUGGACGACAACUGGCGCAAUGGUCUCGGGGCGUUACAACACUCCACCACUACGAGAGGAUCUCGUCCCAAGAUCUAGAAUGGCACCGAAGGGAAAACGGAAGAGAAAGAGAAGAGGUAAAACUAAGUUGCUUCUUUGACAAACGAGUGAAACCAAAGAACCUUGAAAAAGGUUAAGCCAUUUCGAAAAAAGAAUACAACAAAGAUGCCAAAGUUGAAAACACUUCGUUAGGAUAAAGGAACAAGAAAGAACAAAUUCGGGCAGCACUCCGGUUGAAAAGAAAAGGAAUUGAAUAAGAACUUGGUAAGAUGAGAAGAUACUUGAUGAAUUCACAACAUACUGCGUCCCGAACUAUUGAAUGAAUGGAACAAGGGGUAAGAAAGAUCUCAGACAGCACCCCGGUUGAAAGGAGGUGCAAGGUUUGAUAAGGCGAAAAGAACUUGAGCAAAAGGGCACAACACUCCGGUUAAAUGGAUAGGCAUGAAAAGAAUAUGAUCUUUCACAAAAUGAGAUGAUGGGUGAAAAGAACAACAUCACAAUGCCUCCGGAAUGAAAGAAUAGAAUAUAGAUAAUUGAAAGAAAAGAAUGGAUAAGAAAAUGUCAACUUCUGUCACAAAGAACUUGAAAAGGCAUCCUUAAGAGAAAGGUCAAACGGAGUUGUUGGAAAACCAACAACAAAAAGAUAAGCUUUAAGUGGGCUUGUGGAAAACAUCUCAAAACUGAGUAGAAAUUCUGCCACUGACGGAAACGAUAGAUUGGAAUGAUAAGAACAAGGAAACAAGAAACUUUUUUCACCGGGAGGAUAAAUGAAGAACUUGGGUCAUCAUGAGCAACAUAAAUAGCAACAAUCCUUCGGGAAGGCUUGAGGUGAAAUAUAACCCAAGAUAAUUCCAAUGACGAGAUUGAUGGAUUUAUGAUAUCUCAUUCUUAACAACAUGUGAAUCAUGGAACAUGAACUCAAAUUAUCAAGAAUGACAUAAUACCACCUCUAAUGAUAUAGAAGAAAGAAUUGCACUCGGAUUGCAAGAUGAAGAAUGCUUGAGUUCCUCUGAAAAGAAUCUCGAUGAACACUUUGAAAAAGGAAUUAAAUCAUUGGUGAACCAUCAUGUAAAACCUCCAUGAAGAUCUCCGUAACAAAAGGAUGAUCAAAUGGAAGGAAAGAGAAGUUGAAAACACAAGGUGAAUCCUUGUACCGAUUUAGAUGAAUCUCCGUGGUGAAAUAAUUGAAAAAGGUUGGAACUCCGGGAAAAAGAGAAGAAGAACAAUUGAUAACGAGAAUUAGUCGUUGCGAAUAAACUCCGGAAGAACGAAUCCAUCAUUUGGAUAAAGCAAGAAUAAGGAUUAUGUUAUGCGUAUCCUUCACCAAUUUAGGUUGAUGACAAGCAACGGAUUUAGCAUACUACUUAUUCUCGUUGAAAAAGGAUUAAGAUAGAUAUGGCGCCAACUUGGAAAGGUCUUCAACGAACCACCGUAAGGCUUUGGAAAAUGAUAGCUGAAGGCUGAGAAUGAAUAAGUCUUCUGAAAUGAUGGGAUCCGGAGGAAGGAAAAAGAGAAAAUAACUCAUGAAAUGCUCUAGAUGGAUGAAAAGAAUUCCCACAAUCAAAACAAUUAUGAGAGGAUGGCCUCAAACUAGAAUCACGAAUCUUUGAGCGAACGGAUAAGAUUGAGAGAGAAAUCUUCUUCAGUCUCCAAGUGUUGAGAAUGACAAUGAGAAACACCACCAUGAAUUGUUGAGGCACUCUGGAAUGAAAAUUAGAAAUGUUGAACCAAUGAUGAAAAGAAUUUGACAGAUCUUGGAGAAGUACAUCUGACUGAUGAAAAUUCAUUCUUGCGUCAAACUUUGAGAUGAAUUUGAAAAGCUCCGGGAGAAUAAGAAGAGUCAGGUUAUAUCCUGGGAAAAGACCUGUGGGUUAGGGCCCACUCAAAUGAAACACCAUUGAAAUGAUUAAAAGAGAGGUUGCACCGGUUGAAUUAAAUGACUUGAAUGAGAUAACAUCCUCGAAAGAGCUUGAACAAAUGUAGAGUGGAAACACGAAUCUUCGAGAUAUCUUGAGCACUCCGGAACAAUUGAAUAGCGAGAGGUGAAUAAUUAAGAGGUGCAUCGAUAUGAGAAGGCAUUAUAAACGAGGGAAAAGGGAUAUGAUCAACACCAAAAGUUUGAAUUGGUUCCGCCGGAGAAGAAAAAUAACGAAUAAUGAUGAACUUGAGGCUCCGUUAGUAUCUUCAUGAGAAUCACCGGAUAAGAGCAUUGAAGGAAAAGAAUGGAGAGACUUCACAUCAAUAAGAUGGAUACUUGAAUAAGAAAUCUUAGUCCAAAAGUAAAAAAGGAUGGGAGGGCGGGAAAAGAAAGGCAAGCUUGGGGCGGAUGAAACAAACACCGCUGAGAAGAACUGAUAAUUGAUCUUGAGAAUGUUGAAGUGCUCAGAUCCACUUGAAGAGAUACACACCAGUUGAACAAGAUUGGCAUGAAAAUCUCGAUUACCAUGAAGGAUUGGUAUUCACAACAGAGUAUAAGAACACCGUUUAGGAAAGGUAUGGAAUCAACACUUGACUUCGAAGCAACUCGAAUACCACAGCUCAAAACAAAACAAAGGAUUGACUUGCAAAAUAAGCAGGAACAAACAUAUGAUAGAGAUUUCGUCCAAAGUUUUCGUGGUGGGGCCUACACGGGCUCGAUCAUACAACACCAUCAUAUACAAGGCAGUGCACAUGACAUACGAAGCGUCCCCGAGUCGGCAUAGCCAAGGACUCUUUAAGACACAACGAGACCACUGUAAAACCAACCGUGGAUAGGCGGACCACUAGAUGUCGAACCCCAAUUUCAUAUCAUACAUUUGUCGGAAAGAUAUCCUAAGAGCUACUUGAAUUCCCACUUAUAAAAUCCCGGAAUUUUCCAGUUAUGCAAUCAGGUGUUGGGGAUAUAGGGGAAGCAUAAUAUCUCACCCAAAACUACGCAAGUCCUACAUCCAGCUGUAUCCAUCCUUCAACACAUAACCAAGAAACCUUCGGAAAUCGUUUACCUCAACCUUCGAAAAGCAUCCGUUAUACGAGUUAUGGCAAUACUCCUGAACUCCCGCCCCAGUACUAGGUGGCGUCGAGGUUAUCUCACCAACAACUGCAUAAAAGAGAUUUUCGAUGUCGGCGAAACUCAGGUAUUCCAGAAUCUCAACGAUAAAAUUGUGACGACAACACCUCGGAGCUCAACUCCCCGCGACACUGCCACAACCCCUAAAUGUCAGGAGGCACCAAGAACAAUGUUCUCGCCACAAAACCAUCGGAAAGAUUCCAAGAUACCCGCGUGAUCCUAAUUUUUUAGUGAAAUUUGAGAAGAGAAGAGUCAAAACUCUACGUCAGGAUGCCUCACCAGAGCGACAAAGGGACUGAGGAGUAAAACGAAUUCCUAACUCUCCGAUAUAUAUAAUCCUAAAUGACUCAAAACUUUUUUUCUAGACUCAACAACGCCAACGAUUCGAUCAAGCAGGGGGCUCCUAAAGUCGGCGAAGGCUCUGAUUACCAACUAUAACGCCCUCGAAGCGGCUAUAUCUCCCACGUGUUGAAGCACAACUUAGAGGCAUAACCACAUUGAAAGCAAUGUCGCAAGUGAGGUAAUCUUCACACAACCCAUGUAAUACAUAAGGGAAAGAGAUACAUAGUUGGCUUACAAUCGCCACUUCACACAAUUACAUGAAUAAAGCAUUACAUCAACCAGAUACAAUCAAGGUCCGACCACGGAACCCAAAAUAAAAGAAGACUACCCCAAAUGCUACACAGAUCCCCGAUCGUCCCAACUGGGCUCCACUACUGAUCAAAAGGAAGCAAAACAUCAAAAUGAAAUAAGGUCUUCAUCAAGCUCCUCCAUGAGCUCAGUUGCAUCACCUGCACGGUUCAAUGGCACCUGCAAGCUGGUUUUGGAAGUAAUCUGUGAGUCACGGGGACUCAACAAUCUCACACCCUCGCGAUCAAGACUAUUUAAGCUUAUAGGUAGGGUAAAAGGUAUGAGGUGGAGUUGCAGCAAGCGACUAGCAUAUUUGGUGGCUAACAUACGCAAAUGAGAG